GCUGGCUCCUCAAAAAUUUCAAAGGAAAAUGAUUUGUUGAAGGAUUAUGCUACUGGUAAAAAAGACUUCAACAAUGGAGCUCCAAGAAAUCUAGUUGACCAUAGCCACCUCACUGGGAAGAAGAUGGGCAUUCAAUGAAACAGGUGAUUUCCAUUUAUUUCUGAUGAAAAGACCAGUACCAAACAAAAUAAAAUUGACCUCCAAAUAUAGAACUCAAGCAUAAACAGGUAAAAUGAAAAGAACUCUUGAGAACUGUAUUUCUGUUAUGGGUAUACAUAGUACAUGUGUAAUCUGAUUUUACUGUUAAAAUAUAAAAAGAAGCUAGAGGUGGAAAGGUGAAUGUACCAGAAAAAGGGGUAAAGUAAAGGUAAAAUGAGGGAAAUUACAUCUCAGGAAGAGUCAAAGAAAACCUAUUAUAAUUGAGGGAAAGAAGGAAGAGUGAUGAAUAUUCUGUGAAUCUCACUUUCAUCAGAUUUGACUCAAAGAAAGAAUAUUAAAUAUAUUUGGUUUAAUUGAGAAACUUCUCUCAUCUUAUAGAAAAGCAGGAAGGGAAAGGGGAAAAGAGAAGGGAUAGGCUAAAUAGAAGGGAAAACAGAAAUACUAGGAGAAAGAUAUAAAGAAGAGGGAGGGUAUCUAAAGAUGGAGGACUACUUGAGGUAAGUAGAAAUCAUAAAUAAAAUACUAGGGAGAAAGGAAAGGGGAAAAGAAAAGAAAAGUAUAAUGUGGGGUUAAUAAGAUGGCAGAAAAUACAGAAUUAGUAGUUUUAACCAUAAAUGUGAAUGAGGUAAACUCUCCCAUAAAGCAUAAGCAAAUAGCAGCCUGGAUUAAAAGCCAGAAUCCUACAAUAUGUUGUUUACAAGAAACACAUUUGGAAGCAGAGAGAUACAUAUAGAGUAAAGGUAAAAGGCUGGAGUAGAAUCUAUUAUGCUUGAAGUAAAGUUAAAAAAAAAAAAAGCAGGGGUAGCCAUUCUUAUCUCAGAUCAAGCAGAAGCAAAAAUUGAUAUAGUUAAAAGAGAUAAAGAAGGAAACUGUAUCUUGCUAAAGGACAUUAUAGCUAAUGAAGUAAUAUUAAUAUUAAAUAUAUAUGCACCAAGUGGUGUAGCAUCUAAAUUCCUAAAGGAGAAGUUAAGAGAAUUGCAAGAAGAAAUAGACAGCAAAACUAUAAUAGUAGGUGAUCUCAAUCUUGCUCUCUCAGAACUAGAUAAAUCAAACCACAAAAUAAAUAAGAAAAAAGUUAAAGAGAUAAACAGAAUACUAGAAAAGUUAGGUAUGAUAGAUCUUUGGAGAAAAUUGAAUGGAACCAGAAAUGGAAUCUAUACAAAAAUCGACCAUAUAUUAGGACAUAAAAACUUUAAAAUCAAAUACUGAAAGACAGAAAUAGUAAAUGCAUUUUUUUUCAGAUAACGAUACAAUAAAAAUUACAUUCAAUAAAAGGCCAGGGGAAAAUAGACCAAAAAGUAAGUGGAAACUAAAUAAUCUCAUUCUAAAGAAUGAAUGCGUGAAACAGUAAAUCAUAGACACAAUAAUUUCAUCCAAGAGAAUGACAAUAAUGAGACAACAUACCAAAAUUUGUGGGAUGCAGCCAAAACAGGAUAUAAGGGGAAAUUUUAUAUUUCUAGAUGCUUGCUUGCAUAAACUAGAGGAAGAGAAGAUCAAUGAAUGGGGCUUGCAACUAAAAAAGCUAGAAAAAGAACAAAUUAAAACCCCCCAAUCAAAUAACAAACUUGAAAUUCUAAAAAUAAAAGGAGAGAUCAAUGAAAUUGAAAGUAAAAAAAAAGUUAUUGAAUUAAUAAAUAAAACUAAGAGUUGUUUUUAUGAAAAAAACAACAAAAUAGAUGGACCUUUAGUUAAUUAGAAAAAAAGAAAGAGGAAAAUCAAAUUGUUAGUCUCAAAAAUGAAAAGGGAGAACUUUCUAAUAAUCAAGAGGAAAUUAGAGCAAUAAUUAAGAGUUAUUGUGCCCAACUUUAUGCCAAUAAAUGUGACAACCUAAGUGAAAUGGAAGAAUGCUUACAAAAAUAUAGAUUGCCCAGAUUAACAGAAGAGAAAAUAAAUUACUUAAAUAGUCCCAUUUUAGAAAAAGAAAUAGAACAAGCUAUUAAUCAACCAACUCCUAAGAAAAAAUCCCCAGGACCUGAUGGAUUUUACAUGUGAAUUCUACCAAACAUUUAAAGAACAAUUAACUCCAAUUCAAUAUAAACUAUUUGAAAAAAUAGGGAAUGAAGGACUCC